GUGCUCGCUUUGACAGCACAUAUAUUAAAAUUGGGACAAUACAGAGAAGAUUAGAUGGCCCCUGUGCAAGGAUGACACAAAAAUUCAUGAAGCAUUCUAUAGUUAA